UAAGGAAUAUUGCGCAAUGGACGAAAGUCUGACGCAGCGACGCCGCGUGGGGGAUGAAGGUCUUCGGAUUGUAAACCCCUUUCGGGAGGGAAGAUGGAGUGGGUAACCACUUGGACGGUACCUCCAGAAGCAGCCACGGCUAACUUCGUGCCAGCAGCCGCGGUAAUACGAAGGUGGCAAGCGUUGUUCGGAUUCACUGGGCGUACAGGGAGCGUAGGCGGUUGGGUAAGCCCUCCGUGAAAUCUCCGGGCCUAACCCGGAAAGUGCAGAGGGGACUGCUCAGCUAGAGGAUGGGAGAGGAGCGCGGAAUUCCCGGUGUAGCGGUGAAAUGCGUAGAGAUCGGGAGGAAGGCCGGUGGCGAAGGCGGCGCUCUGGACGGCAACUGACGCUGAGGCACGAAAGCGUGGGGAGCAAACAGGAUUAGAUACCCAAGUAGUCCCUGAGCGGGCUGGCAAGGCGCAU
rnacentral:rRNA from 1 species